rnacentral:lncRNA from 1 species
UGAGUUCCAGGACAGCCAGGGCUACACAGAGAAACCCUGUCUUGAAAAACCAAAAACAAAAAACAAAAAACCACAAAACAAAACAAAAACAAAACUAGGAUAGAAAAAAAAAAUUGAAGAAUUUCAGAGUUGUUGAGGCAAACAUUUCAAGAAUGUAUUUCCAUCAUACAUAUGUGUGCAUAGGCAAAGCUAUGUCAACAGUUAUAUUUUCUCUGACUCAAACUUUAAAGUUGUGGAGAAGAGGUACUAGAGAAAGGGCUAAGUGGUUAAGAGCACUUCCUUCUCUCCCAGAAGACCCCAUUUCAGUUCUUAGUACCCUGUGACUUCAGCUCUGGGGGACCCUAUGACCUGCACACAUAGAAUACACACACACCACAGAAAUAAAAAAUACAAAAAGAAAACUCUUUUGGGACUGGAGAAAUGGCUCAGUAGUUAAGAGGACGUGAGUUUAAUUCCCAGCACCCACACAGUGAGUGGCUCAUAGCCAUCUGUAACUCCAGUUCUAGGGGGUCUGAUGCCCUCUCUGGCCUCAGUGGGUACCAGGAAUGCAUGUGGUGCACAAAAAUAAAUUCAGGCAAAACACCUAUUCACAUAAAGUACAUUGAUUUUUUUUUUUGUUUGUUUUGUUUUUUUUUAAAACGGGAGAAAGCUUCUAGCAACCAUGUGGUGGCUCCCAACUUUUCAUAAUAAGAUCUAAUCCCUCUUCUGGCGUGCAGGUGUUUAUGCAUAUAGAACACUCAUAUACAUAAAAUAUAUAAACAAGCCUUUAAAAAAGUUUAUUGUAGGCAGUGAUGGUGCAUGCCUUUAAUCCCAGCACUAAGUGAGCAGAGGCAGGCGAAUCUCUGUGAGUUUAAGGCCAGCCUGGUCUACAUAGUAAGUUAUAAGACAGCCAGAGCUACGUAGUGAGACCCUCAUCUCAAAAGAAAAGAGAAAGAAUAAAGAAUGAAGCAGGAAGUAUUGAAAAUUCUAAUGAGUCAGCCAUAUUGCUAUGAAAAGUGUGAAGUCAAGGAACAAGGCCUUUGGUUUUGUUUCUAAAGUGAGGUAUUACAACCACAAAGUGUGUUUUCACAUUUCAACAGGAGUGUGUGCUUAGCACCCUCUUGGCAGCUGAUGAGUAAUGAGAGAGCACUGACACAAAAGCCUGAGGUAGAGCCUUGUGGAGGCAGAAACAGUGGGAUUUCAGAGCCGGAGUGGAAGGGUGCUCAGAUAGGAGCAAGAAAGGUUCAUCUGUGCUGGAGAGUGACUCAGUGGAUAAGAGUACUUGGUGCUUUUGCAGAGGACCAGAGUUCAAUUCUCAGCCCCCACAUGGCUGUUCACAACUGUCUAACUCCAGUUCUAGGCGAUCUGGCAGUCUCUUUGGUCUCCUUGAGCACCAGGCAUGCACAUAGUGCAUAUAUAGACAUGCAGGCAAAACACUCACACAUAUAGC